GGUAGUAGCAAAUAUUCAAAUGACAACUUUGAAGGCUGAAGUGGAGAAGGUUUCCAUGCACAACAGCAGUUGGACACGGAUUAGCCGGUCGUAGGCGAGAGCUUAACUGCGGUGAUUUCGCGGCUUUACCGUUCCCCUUUUUCGCGAACGGGAAUCAGGAUAAUAGUCCUGAUUCAAGGCGUUGAUAUUCUACAGUAACAUUGAGCAACUCCUCGACGCAGGCGGCUGUCCCGGGGAGCGUUGUCUUUGCUGCCAAAUAGUCUCAUUACAAACAUACCCUCGAGUGUAAAGCAUUGGCAAGGAUCCCUUGUGGUGCACUGCUUCAAUUACGCGGUCCGCCUUCGCUCCAUGCAAACAUUUUGUGCGCAGAAUGCAUGAUCGUGCUUUGGGAGGUCAUGGUAGGAUCAACAGAACAGCUGGGAGGCUGGCC
rnacentral:ncRNA from 1 species